CCAAGGCUAAAUACUCCCUAGUGAUCGAUAGUGAACCAGUACCGUGAGGGAAAGGUGAAAAGCACCCCGGAAGGGGAGUGAAAGAGAUCCUGAAACCGUGUGCCUACAAAUAGUCAGAGCCCGUUAAUGGGUGAUGGCGUGCCUUUUGUAGAAUGAACCGGCGAGUUACGAUCCCGUGCGAGGUUAAGCUGAAGAGGCGGAGCCGCAGCGAAAGCGAGUCUGAAUAGGGCGUUUAGUACGUGGUCGUAGACCCGA
rnacentral:rRNA from 1 species